GACGAACGCUGGCGGCGUGCUUAACACAUGCAAGUCGAACGGAAAGGCCCUGAUUUUGUGGGGUGCUCGAGUGGCGAACGGGUGAGUAACACGUGAGUAACCUGCCCUUGAAUUUGGGAUAAAUUCAGGAAAAUGGGGAUAAUACCGGAUAGGAGCUCCUGCAGCAUGGUGGGGGUUGGAAAGAUUCGGCGGUUGGGGAUGGACUCGCGGCUUAUCAGCUUGUUGGUGGGGUAGUGGCUUACCAAGGCUUUGACGGGUAGCCGGCCUGAGAGGGUGACCGGCCACAUUGGGACUGAGGUACGGCCCAGACUCCUACGGGAGGCAGCAGUGGGGAGCAUGGCACAAUGGGCGGAAGCCUGAGGCAGCAACGCCGCGUGCGGGAUGACGGCCUUCGGGUUGUAAACCGCUUUCGCCUGUGACGAAGCGUGAGUGACGGUAAUGGGUAAAGAAGCACCGGCUAACUACGUG
rnacentral:rRNA from 1 species